CGUAGGUGGCAAGCGUUGUCCGGAUUUAUUGGGCGUAAAAGGGAAACGCAGGCGGUCCUUUAAGUCUGAUGUGAAAGCCUUCGGCUUAACCGAAGAAUUGCAUUGGAAACUAGGAGGGACUUGAGUGCAGAAAGAGGAGAGUGGAACUCCAUGUGUAGCGGUGAAAAUGCGUAGAUAUAUGGAAGAACACCAGUGGCGAAAGCGGCUCUCUGGCCUGUAACUGACGCUGAGGUUCGAAAGUGUGGGUAGCAAACAGGAUU
rnacentral:rRNA from 1 species